GCCACUGUGACAUAGUGGUUUGAGUGUUGGACUAGGACUCUGGAGACCAGGGUUCGAAUCCCAGCUCAGCCA